UACGGAGGGUGCAAGCGUUAUCCGGAUUCACUGGGUUUAAAGGGUGCGUAGGUGGGUUGGUAAGUCAGUGGUGAAAUCCCCGAGCUUAACUUGGGAACUGCCAUUGAUACUAUCAGUCUUGAAUACCGUGGAGGUCAGCGGAAUAUGUCAUGUAGCGGUGAAAUGCUUAGAUAUGACAUAGAACACCAAUUGCGAAGGCAGCUGACUACACGAAUAUUGACACUGAGGCACGAAAGCGUGGGGAUCAAACAGG
rnacentral:rRNA from 1 species